UGGUGCUGAUAGAAUGCAGGUG
rnacentral:misc_RNA from 1 species